rnacentral:rRNA from 1 species
GAUGAACGCUGGCGGCGUGCCUAAUACAUGCAAGUCGAGCGAACAGACGAGGAGCUUGCUCCUCUGACGUUAGCGGCGGACGGGUGAGUAACACGUGGAUAACCUACCUAUAAGACUGGGAUAACUUCGGGAAACCGGAGCUAAUACCGGAUAAUAUAUUGAACCGCAUGGUUCAAUAGUGAAAGACGGUUUUGCUGUCACUUAUAGAUGGAUCCGCGCCGCAUUAGCUAGUUGGUAAGGUAACGGCUUACCAAGGCAACGAUGCGUAGCCGACCUGAGAGGUGGAUCGGCCACACGGGAACGGAGACACGGGCCAGACUCCUACGGGAGGCAGCAGUAGGGAAUCUUCCGCAAUGGGCGAAAGCCUGACGGAGCAAGGCCGCGGGAGUGAUGAAGGUCUUGGGAUCGUAAAACUCUGUUAUUAGGGAAGAACAAAUGUGAAAGUAACUAUGAACGUCUUGACGGUACCAAAUCAGAAAGCCACGGCUAACUACGU